rnacentral:rRNA from 1 species
GAUGAACGCUGGCGGCGUGCCUAAUACAUGCAAGUCGAGCGAACGGACGAGAAGCUUGCUUCUCUGAUGUUAGCGGCGGACGGGUGAGUAACACGUGGAUAACCUACCUAUAAGACUGGGAUAACUUCGGGAAACCGGAGCUAAUACCGGAUAAUAUUUUGAACCGCAUGGUUCAAAAGUGAAAGACGGUCUUGCUGUCACUUAUAGAUGGAUCCGCGCUGCAUUAGCUAGUUGGUAAGGUAACGGCUUACCAAGGCAACGAUGCAUAGCCGACCUGAGAGGGUGAUCGGCCACACUGGAACUGAGACACGGUCCAGACUCCUACGGGAGGCAGCAGUAGGGAAUCUUCCGCAAUGGGCGAAAGCCUGACGGAGCAACGCCGCGUGAGUGAUGAAGGUCUUCGGAUCGUAAAACUCUGUUAUUAGGGAAGAACAUAUGUGUAAGUAACUGUGCACAUCUUGACGGUACCUAAUCAGAUAGCCACGGCUAACUACGUG